rnacentral:rRNA from 1 species
CAGCCGCCGCGGUAAAACGGAGGGGGCUAGCGUUGUUCGGAAUUACUGGGCGUAAAGCGCACGUAGGCGGCUUUGUAAGUUAGAGGUGAAAGCCUGGGGCUCAACUCCAGAAUUGCCUUUAAGACUGCAUCGCUUGAACGUCGGAGAGGUGAGUGGAAUUCCGAGUGUAGAGGUGAAAUUCGUAGAUAUUCGGAAGAACACCAGUGGCGAAGGCGGCUCACUGGACGACUGUUGACGCUGAGGUGCGAAAGCGUGGGGAGCAAACAGGAUUAGAGACCCGCGUAGUCCCUGUCUCUUAUAC